rnacentral:rRNA from 1 species
UUCGAUGGGUAACAGUAGAGCUUGAUCGUGGCUCAGUGAACCGCUUCUCGGGCGCCGCAUUAGUGGCGGAACGGGUGAGUAACACGUGGGCAAUCUGCCCUGCACUCUGGGACAAGCCCUGGAAACGGGGUCUAAUACCGGAUAUGACUGUCCAUCGCAUGGUGGAUGGUGUAAAGCUCCGGCGGUGCAGGAUGAGCCCGCGGCCUAUCAGCUUGUUGGUGAGGUAGUGGCUCACCAAGGCGACGACGGGUAGCCGGCCUGAGAGGGCGACCGGCCACACUGGGACUGAGACACGGCCCAGACUCCUACGGGAGGCAGCAGUGGGGAAUAUUGCACAAUGGGCGAAAGCCUGAUGCAGCGACGCCGCGUGAGGGAUGACGGCCUUCGGGUUGUAAACCUCUUUCAGCAGGGAAGAAGCGAAAGUGACGGUACCUGCAGAAGAAGCGCCGGCUAACUACGUGCCAGCAGCCGCGGUAAUACGUAGGGCGCAAGCGUUGUCCGGAAUUAUUGGGCGUAAAGAGCUCGUAGGCGGCUUGUCACGUCGGUUGUGAAAGCCCGGGGCUUAACCCCGGGUCUGCAGUCGAUACGGGCAGGCUAGAGUUCGGUAGGGGAGAUCGGAAUUCCUGGUGUAGCGGUGAAAUGCGCAGAUAUCAGGAGGAACACCGGUGGCGAAGGCGGAUCUCUGGGCCGAUACUGACGCUGAGGAGCGAAAGCGUGUGGAGCGAACAGGAUUAGAUACCCUGGUAGUCCACGCCGUAAACGGUGGGCACUAGGUGUGGGCAACAUUCCACGUUGUCCGUGCCGCAGCUAACGCAUUAAGUGCCCCGCCUGGGGAGUACGGCCCGCAAGGCUAAAACCUCAAAGGAAUUGGACG